GAAAACAUUUCAGCUGGAAAAUUCUCAUCAUUGCAAUGCUGACCUUUGCAAAGGGCUUUAAAUCCUUGAGUGGAAGUAGCAGCCUCUGCUCCCAGACCUGGGCGUGGUGGGGACACAACUCCCCAUGGAAUCUGGGCUCACGCUCCUGCCCUGUGCAGUAUCCAAAGGCAAAGAGCAAAUCCAGAAGCUGGAAAGAGCAGAUUCUCAACCUCUCCCUUCCUUCUGGAUGUCGGUGGGGAAAAAAAACAGGCUAUUUACUGAGAAGUAUUUACUGGGAAGUGCAAGAAACAAAAUGUUCUGAAAUGCUGCAGCAAAAUGGAGGGGGAAAAAAACCCCCAUAAUAAUAUAAAACAUGUAAGCAGCUUGAUCAAAAUGAAGCAAUAUUGACAGAAAAUGGGGUUUUAAGUAGCAGGACAACAG